CGUCAAUGACAGUUCAUAUAUUCGGUCUGUCAGAGCGACUAAUAAUACUGUAAUCAUAUCGUUUCCUCGUUGGUAAUAUUAGUGCAAAAUUAAUGCGUAUUAAUUUAAUAAAGGAAACAUUUGAUGCUAGAAAAUUUUGUGAACUUCAUAAAGUCUACGCUUGGGCAGACUUAGCGGCAACACAAUAGCACAACAAACGAUUGGAGUGCACGGUUACCGUCGACUGACGUUCAAUGGCAAGAAUAUAACGAAACGAACACGAGUAAUGAAUCCAACAGCACAGCAGUUGGAUAGAAAAAACAGCGCGCGAGCCAGUCAGCUGCAGGAAACACCCCUAAUGCAGGACGAUUUACUAAGGAUCUCUGAAACAACAGGACACAAUUAAACUUGUAUAAUGUGUAUUCACAACACAUAAAUAGAGGAAGUGUUUAUUCA